AUUUAUAUGUACUGUAAAAUUACUUGCACCGUCUGGGCUAUUAAAAUCGCUGCCAACUAACUUUAAUUUGACUCCACUUGGUUACAUAAGUUGGGGCACCGACCGUACCAUUGUUCACAGUUGACACAAGUUGAAUUUUGUAACUAAAUCUACUUAAAUAGAUUUAAUUAUAAAAAGAUUUAGAAAAAGAGCAAUUGAUCACAAUAAAUUGGAAACUUAAAAGAUAUAUUGAAAUAAUUUAAAUAAAUAAGUCCUCAAAGUUUCAAAAUUCCUUUUUAGGGUUCCGUAGCCAAGUGGCAAAAAACGAAACCCUUAUAGAUUCGUCAUGUCCGUCUGUCUGUCCGUUUAUGUCACAGCCACUUUUUUCCUAAACUACUAUAUAUAUUGUUCAAACUUGGUAAGUAGAUGUAUUCUAUGAACUGCAUUAAGAUUUUCACACAAAAAUAGAAAAAAAAAAAUUUGGGAGUUCCCCAUAUUUAGAACUGAAACUCAAAAAUUUUGUUUUCAUCAAACCCAUACGUGUGGGGUAUCUAUGGAUAGGUCUUCAAAAAUGAUAUUGAGGUUUGUAAUGUAAUUUUUUUCUAAACUGAAUAGUUUGCGCGAGAGACACUUCCAAAGUGGUAAAAUGUGUGUCCCCCCACCCCUGUAACUUCUAAAAUAAGAGAAUGAUAAACCUAAAAAAAUAUAUGAUGUACAUUACCAUUCAAACUGCCACCGAAAAUUGGUUUGAACGAGAUCUAGUAAAGUAGUUUUUUUAAUACGUCAUAAAUGGUACGGAACCCUUUAUGGGCGAGUCCGACUCGCACUUGGCCGUUUUUUUUAAAUCUAAAAACGAAAAAAAGAAUGGUGUACUAUUCUAUUCCUUAUAUAUACCUAUAGUAAACGCAUUCAUCGAGUAAAUGGCAUUUUCCUUGUUUUCCACGAAACGGCUUCCAAGCAAGAGUGAUGUCACUGGAUCACUAAUGCAGUGCACCAAUAUAGUGAAUAUGUCCACUAUAUUCGAGUAUGAGCCAUUGCUCCCUAUUUAAUUUAAUUGUCAACUAGCCUAUACUUUUGUAAACCUUAUUCCAAAGACAUAAGAUCCGUCGAUGGUCAUUCAAGAGUGUUACUGUUGGUAAGAUACACUCUCAUCUGUGAAUAGACGAGUCUUUCAAACAGACGUACCCUUUUCAUAGGCGACGGAAAGAUCCUUAUAUAGGGAAACAACGGUUCAUCUUAUAAAGUGUGCUAUUGUCAGGAAGCUUCAGAUUUUUGCAUCCUGUAAGGUCUCCGAAUGCACUACACGUAAAGUUAGUUUGAAGUAUUUUUAGGGUUCUGUACCGAAAGGGUAAAACGGGAGCCUAUUACUAAGACUCCGCUGUCCGUCUGUCUGUCUAUCUGUCCGUCUGUCACCAGACUGUCUCGUGAACCGUGAUAGCUAGAAAGUUGAACUUUUCACAAAUGAUGUAUUUCUGUUGCCGCUAUAACAACAAACCCUCGGUGGGCGAGUUCGACUCGCACUUAUCCGGUUUUGUUAUACCACGUAGGUGGAAAACAAGCAUACGACCCGCCUGAAGGUAAGCAAUCAUCGUUACCGUCAUAACGCCUAUAACACCAGAGACAUGUAGGUCACACGGGGCCACUGACUUGGGCUCGGGUAGUGAUGCGCUUGCAAUUAUGUGCAAUGCUGGGUCAGCAACGAGCGAUAUGACGCUUGUCCCCGCCGGCUCCAGUUGGUGUAUCAGCGACUCCUCAUCGCGAUUACGCUGCUGCUGCAAAACUGAGAAAAGCACCUUCAAGGGUGUUUGAACAUGUUUCUCGUGAUGAGAAGCCACCCCACGCCGAGAAAGGAUUCACACAGGCGUGAGGCGGAGAGGAGGCGUCGCAAAGCGCCUCGCAAGAGCCAGUGUGGCACUGCAGAGCUGGAUGUUGCUUCUGGCAUGAGGGUUGCCACACCGAACACGGCGCUAUAUGUAUCGCGCCUGCAUGUUUCCGCCACGGCAGAAGAUGUGGUUUAAUAUGUCCGCAAGAAGAUCCGUUACGAGCUGAAAGUAUUCCAGCUGCGAUCGGGGCAUUACGUGCACUUCAGCUCGUUUAUUAUUGUAUGUAUGUUAGUCUGUAAGGUAUGUAUAAUAUGGGCCAUAGUUGCCUGAAAAUAAAUGAUAUUUAAUUUAAUUUAAUUAUAUGCGUGUUGCCGACCCUUUAAAACCGUGUACACUUUUUUGAAGAACCCCAGACUGUAGCCCCUCGGGAAAACAUUGCUCAUUCCACAGCCGAGGCAUCCGCGGUAGGUAUUGCCACUAUGAAGAAAAAAUUUCCCAUAUUCCGUUAUAUUCCACAGGGAGAAAAUUAGGCAACUUAUUUUUGUAUUGGGAAUGAUAUUUCUCAUUUCUAAAAUGGAAACUUUCUUUCCAAAAAAAUCCGAGAAUUUCCAACGCUAAGGUACUUCUCUUCAACUUGCAUUUGCAGUAUCUACCUAAUAUUUCUGGUCUUCGCAUCGGAAUUACUACUUGUUCUUGUCCAACACGCAUUAUUAUUUCACGUUCAAUUUAAGAUAAGGUUUAUUUGAAAUCCUUAUACUCGUAAGUCAUUAUUAUUUUUAAUUUAAAACCAGCUGUACAAUCAGAGUUCGAUUCGAAUUCUUAAAUUACCUUGGAAUUUUUUUACGUCCUUAGUAAACAUGGUCUUUAGAAUAAUACUACGGGUUUAUACAUUUGCUCUGUUUAUUAUCGAUACGAGUCCAAACUACACACGUUGUUAUUUCGACAGUAAUUACAAUAACUCAGUGCCGCUCAAUUGCACACAGGAAACCGGGUCGAUCAGUCCUCUCUUUCCCCCCAUGACCAGACCUUUAACGCGUCCGGUUAGAACCAGCACCUCAAGGUCUCCAGUUACAACCAGGACCUCAAGGUCUCCAGUUAGAACCAGAACUUCAAGGCCUCAAUUUAGAACCAGCACCUCAAGGCCUCAAGUUAGAACCAGCACCUCAAGGUCUCCAGUUACAACCAGGACCUCAAGGUCUCCAGUUAGAACCAGAACCUCAAGGCCUCAACUUAGAACCAGCACCUCAAGGUCUCACGUUAGAACCAGCACCUCAAGGCCUCGGGUUACCAACGCCUUGACGACUAGACCAGGGACGCGGACGACAAAACGAACAACAACGAACCAAGGAUCAGACACGAAGACUACGAACAUAAGACGUUUCCCAAGGUGUAAAGGAUCGGCCAGGUGUGUACCUAUAUUAUUCAAUCAAGAUAUAACACCCACACGGACAGAAAAUGAUUCAACAAACACGGAAUCGUCUACGACAGAACCGACGGUAUCGACGCAAAAAAAUGGAAGGACGAUAAUUAAGUGUAGAGGAGCUGCCAAGUGUGUGCAUAUAGUUUUUUAGAAUAUCUAGACCCUGACAAAGCAUACAUUUUUUACGUCACUAUAUAGGGUUAACAUAUGUUCAUAUCCCCAAGGAUAUAAAUGCUUUCAUUACUACCACAGAUCAAACCAAGGAUAACAGAUAUCUAGUAGUGAGUAAUGCAACCAUUUAUUUUUUAUAGCCAUCUCGGUAAUUAUUGGUACACAUAAAAGCGCCGAUUUGUAUUCAAUCAAUUGAUACUAAUUAUGUUUAUUAGUGCGUGUAAUUACAUAUUAGUUAACUCUUCAUCUUCCUUGCGUUAUGAGAGCAUGGGGUCUGUUUGUCAACUAAUCCUGAGAAUUGGCGUAGGUACUAGUUUCUACAAAAGUGACUGCCAUAUAUCCGAUCUAACCGAAAGGGUAAAACUAGGCCUUAUUCGGAUUAGCCCGGUUUCCACACGAUGUUUUCCUUCACCGAAAAGCGACUGGUAAAUAUCAAAUUGUAUUUCGUACAUAAGCUCCGAAAACCUCAGUGGUACGAGCCGAGGUUUGAACCCGCGACCCCCGGAAUGAAAGACGCCCGCCACUAGGUACGAGUACAUUUAAGUUAACAAUCAGUAAAAAGUGGAAUCGAAAAAAAUGAUGUUCGUAGGGCCACCCUAUAUUCAUUGGUUGAAGAGUUUGUUGAUAAAAUAUGUUUCUACUAUACUUAUGAUUUCUAAACUAGGUUAGUCGGUA